UACGUAGGGUGCAAGCGUUGUCCGGAAUUAUUGGGCGUAAAGAGCUCGUAGGCGGUCUGUCACGUCGGCUGUGAAAUCCCGAGGCUCAACCUCGGGUCUGCAGUCGAUACGGGCAAACUAGAGUAUUGCAGGGGAGACUGGAAUUCCUGGUGUAGCGGUGAAAUGCGCAGAUAUCGGGAGGAACACCGGUGGCGAAGGCGGUUCUCUGGGCCUUACCUGACGCUGAGGAGCGAGAGCGUGGGGAGCGAACAGG
rnacentral:rRNA from 1 species